GAUGAACGCUGGCGGCGUGCCUAAUACAUGCAAGUCGAGCGAACAGACGAGGAGCUUGCUCCUCUGAUGUUAGCGGCGGACGGGUGAGUAACACGUGGAUAACCUACCUAUAAGACUGGGAUAACUUCGGGAAACCGGAGCUAAUACCGGAUAACAUGUUGAACCGCAUGGUUCAACAGUGAAAGACGGUCUUGCUGUCACUUAUAGAUGGAUCCGCGCCGCAUUAGCUAGUUGGUAAGGUAACGGCUUACCAAGGCAACGAUGCGUAGCCGACCUGAGAGGGUGAUCGGCCACACUGGAACUGAGACACGGUCCAGACUCCUACGGGAGGCAGCAGUAGGGAAUCUUCCGCAAUGGGCGAAAGCCUGACGGAGCAACGCCGCGUGAGUGAAGAAGGUCUUCGGAUCGUAAAACUCUGUUAUUAGGGAAGAACACAUGUGUAAGUAACUAUGCACGUCUUGACGGUACCUAAUCAGAAAGCCACGGCUAACUACGUG
rnacentral:rRNA from 1 species